CUUCUCCACUGCGAGAUCGACGUCCAUGCCGACGCUGGAAAAGAAAACGACGUGCUUGAAAAAUCAAAGAAAGGAAAGGGAACGUCAGAAGCGGUACCCUUUGCCAAACAGUCUGGUGGUGAUGAGCAUACGGAAUUGCUCGCAAUCCAGUCUUAAAUCGGCCUCGAUGGACAACUUCGUGAAUCCAGGACGAGCGCAUACGUCCUCGUCGUUGGCAUAAUCCAAGGUGAUUUAGAAAAAUCAUCCCUUACCUAGAAUUCCAGGCUUGGCCUCAUUUAAUAACGGCUCCAGCCUCUCCUUCGCCAGGGAAAAUAUACUCGCCGCACUGAACCUCCACCUGAAACAAGAAUCGGUGGAAAUAAUCACGAGGGUUCAAUGAGAGACGUCACAGUAAAAAUACUGGUUAAAUUACCGAAUGAGAAGGCACUUUUAGCGGUACUAUUGAAACAUGUUAUUUCGCUGGUACAUCGCGAUAUCCCGGACUUUUUUCAACGCAUGUUUAAUUCAUACCUCUCCGGGCAUAUUCCGAGACGCACAUCCAGCCGAGCCAGAUUGCUCCACUUAGGCGCAUAAAUAAUUCAACAUUUUAAUUGCCAUGUCAACAAUACCACCUACGAGUUAAAUGAACCGCAAAAGUAAGCCCGAGUCCUCGCGGCGAAACGGAUUUAUUUCACCGUGGCCUUCGUUCCGCCUCUAAAUCGAUUCGAUGGAAAUCCUCUCGCGUUUAUGAGACGGUAAUUUUAACUUAUAUUCGCUUGUACGAAUCCAGGAGAAAAUUACGGACUCGGUAAGGAGGUCAGAUCAUGCGCGAUAGCGAGCUGCGAUUUCCGUCGAUUUAUCCUGAAAGUUGUGAUAGCCCGGGUAGCCAUUAAGUCAGUUAGUGGUACCAACAUACCUGCGAAUACCUGUAAAUAUUAUAAUACCUCCCAUUAAUCAAAAUGCAAGGUACUAUCGAUAUGAAUUCCUGGUUUUGUCAUUGGGUUACCUUUCACUUUGAUUCGAUAACGUGGGUGCUUGUCGUCGCGAGACGAAACGAGCUCGCCGGACCGCAUGCCUUUCGAAUAGAUCAAUCAGCGUAGAUCCUAAUCGCGGAAAUAGACUUUAUGAGCUCGUUAAGUACUUCAUAUAUUAUCGGAGAGAUUAGGAAUGCCCGGCACAGAGAAAUGUCGGGUUUCAUUAAGUUUCAUUGUUCCUUUCACGGCUCUUGCAUCGGAAGCUGCGACGCGUGGCGUAAUCACGCCCGCCAGUAAUUCCAAUCCCAAACCCAAAGUAAUGAUUUAUUCUGGGGCAUAUUAAUAUCCAGCGUAUCAGUAGGGUGCAUCUAACCUUUC